UACGAAGGGGGCUAGCGUUGUUCGGAAUUACUGGGCGUAAAGCGCGCGCAGGCGGCUAUCCAAGUCAGUGGUGAAAGCCCGGAGCUCAACUCCGGAACUGCCAUUGAAACUGUUUAGCUUGAGGACGAGAGAGGUGAGUGGAAUUCCCAGUGUAGAGGUGAAAUUCGUAGAUAUUGGGAAGAACACCGGUGGCGAAGGCGGCUCACUGGCUCGUAUCUGACGCUCAGGCACGCGAGCGUGG
rnacentral:rRNA from 1 species